AUUGAACGCUGGCGGCAUGCUUUACACAUGCAAGUCGAACGGUAACAGGCCGCAAGGUGCUGACGAGUGGCGAACGGGUGAGUAAUGCAUCGGGACGUGCCCAGUCGUGGGGGAUAGCGCAGAGAAAGCUGCGCUAAUACCGCAUACGAUACAUCGAUGAAAGCGGGGGACCGUAAGGACUCGCGCGCUUGCAGCGGUCGGUGUCAGAUUAGGUAGUUGGUGGGGUAAAGGCUCACCAAGCCAACGAUCUGUAGCUGGUCUGAGGGGACGACCAGCCACACUGGGACUGAGACACGGCCCAGACUCCUACGGGAGGCAGCAGUGGGGAAUUUUGGACAAUGGGCGCAAGCCUGAUCCAGCAAUGCCGCGUGCAGGAAGAAGGCCUUCGGGUUGUAAACUGCUUUUGUACGGAACGAAGCGGUCCUGGUUAAUACCUGGGGCUAAUGACGGUACCGUAAGAAUAAGCACCGGCUAACUACGUGCCAGCCGCCGCAGUAAUAC
rnacentral:rRNA from 1 species